GCUUGCUUUCUUUGCUGGCGACCGGCGCACGGGUGAGUAACACGUAUCCAACCUGCCCUUUACUCGGGGAUAGCCUUUCGAAAGAAAGAUUAAUACCCGAUAGCAUAAUGAUUCCGCAUGGUUUCAUUAUUAAAGGAUUCCGGUAAAGGAUGGGGAUGCGUUCCAUUAGGUUGUUGGUGAGGUAACGGCUCACCAAGCCUUCGAUGGAUAGGGGUUCUGAGAGGAAGGUCCCCCACAUUGGAACUGAGACACGGUCCAAACUCCUACGGGAGGCAGCAGUGAGGAAUAUUGGUCAAUGGGCGCUAGCCUGAACCAGCCAAGUAGCGUGAAGGAUGAAGGCUCUAUGGGUCGUAAACUUCUUUUAUAUAAGAAUAAAGUGCAGUAUGUAUACUGUUUUGUAUGUAUUAUAUGAAUAAGGAUCGGCUAACUCCGUGCCAGCAGCCGCGGUAAUACGGAGGAUCCGAGCGUUAUCCGGAUUUAUUGGGUUUAAAGGGAGCGUAGGUGGACUGGUAAGUCAGUUGUGAAAGUUUGCGGCUCAACCGUAAAAUUGCAGUUGAUACUGUCAGUCUUGAGUACAGUAGAGGUGGGCGGAAUUCGUGGUGUAGCGGUGAAAUGCUUAGAUAUCACGA
rnacentral:rRNA from 1 species